UACGUAGGGGGCAAGCGUUGUCCGGAAUCAUUGGGCGUAAAGCGCGCGUAGGCGGCUAGAUCAGUCUGCUGUAAAAGUCAAAGGCUCAACCUUUGAAAGCCGGUGGAUACUGUCUAGCUAGAGUCCGGAAGAGGAGAGUGGAAUUCCCGGUGUAGCGGUGAAAUGCGCAGAUAUCGGGAAGAACACCCGUGGCGAAGGCGGCUCUCUGGGACGGUACUGACGCUGAGACGCGAAAGCGUGGGGAGCGAACAGG
rnacentral:rRNA from 1 species